GAUAACUUCUUUCACCAAAAUCAAAAACCCAAAACUUCUCUCUUAGUUUUUAAUCUACCCUAACCGAAACCCAUCUUCGAACCUUUAAUGACUUUUGUUCGACAAAAAAAAUCAUCAUCAACAACAACGAUGGCAACAAAAUCCUUCCCAUUAAAAAGCCAUAAAAGAAACCCAUUAAUGAAUUUGAUUCCCAGUCAAAUCUUUAACCCGGUUUGGAAUCUGACUUCAGACUAAUGCCCAGUGUGUCGUAAUCUGAAUUACCCAUAAAGUGUUUCCGGAUUCAAAUCAUUUACAAUUUUCGAUCUAAUGCAGGAAAUCAGAGCUAAUCCGAUUGUACCUAUAGAAUUCCAGCAUGCGUUUUGGUUCGUUUGAAGGAUUUGGAUGUUUAGGUAUCCAUCAGCAUCUGAAAUAAUCACCAGUUUGGGUAGUUAUCGUGGUGAAAAAGAUGGGGUUCUGCUUUGAACUACGAAAUCUGCGUGUUUACAAACUACUAAGACAUAAUGGAACGUUCGGGUGCUCCAAAUAAUGCUGGAUCUGCGUUGGGGAAACGGAAUAUCCGUGGACGGUCACGCGGCAUAGAUCUGGAUGAUUGGAUUGCCCAACAUGAAAAAUAUUUAUGCUUUUCUUUGUUGAUAGUAUUGUGAAUUGGCUCAGAGAUGAGAUGAAUUUGCAUCCAGAAUGCAUCCCAAGUUUUCUUGAGCUGCUGACAGUCUUACCACAGGAAGCUUUAAGCCACAAGAUAGCUGCUCGUCCAGAAAGGCGGCAUCAGUUUGAGAAGGAACUUAUUUCUGCAGCUGAGGUUGCUUUUAAUGUCUUGACUACUUGUUUGAGUCUAAAUGAACUAAAUCUUCAUACUU